AAAUUGAAGAGUUUGAUCAUGGCUCAGAUUGAACGCUGGCGGCAGGCCUAACACAUGCAAGUCGAGCGGUAGCACAGAGGAGCUUGCUCUUUGGGUGACGAGCGGCGGACGGGUGAGUAAUGUCUGGGAAACUGCCUGAUGGAGGGGGAUAACUACUGGAAACGGUAGCUAAUACCGCAUAACCUCGCAAGAGCAAAGAGGGGGACCUUCGGGCCUCUCGCCAUCAGAUGUGCCCAGAUGGGAUUAGCUAGUAGGUGAGGUAAUGGCUCACCUAGGCGACGAUCCCUAGCUGGUCUGAGAGGAUGACCAGCCACACUGGAACUGAGACACGGUCCAGACUCCUACGGGAGGCAGCAGUGGGGAAUAUUGCACAAUGGGCGCAAGCCUGAUGCAGCCAUGCCGCGUGUGUGAAGAAGGCCUUCGGGUUGUAAAGCACUUUCAGCGGGGAGGAAGGCGGUAAGGUUAAUAACCUUGUCGAUUGACGUUACCCGCAGAAGAAGCACCGGCUAACUCCGUGCCAGCAGCCGCGGUAAUACGGAGGGUGCAAGCGUUAAUCGGAAUGACUGGGCGUAAAGCGCACGCAGGCGGUCUGUUAAGUUGGAUGUGAAAUCCCCGGGCUUAACCUGGGAACUGCAUUCAAAACUGACAGGCUAGAGUCUUGUAGAGGGGGGUAGAAUUCCAGGUGUAGCGGUGAAAUGCGUAGAGAUCUGGAGGAAUACCGGUGGCGAAGGCGGCCCCCUGGACAAAGACUGACGCUCAGGUGCGAAAGCGUGGGGAGCAAACAGGAUUAGAUACCCUGGUAGUCCACGCUGUAAACGAUGUCGAUUUGGAGGUUGUGCCCUUGAGGCGUGGCUUCCGGAGCUAACGCGUUAAAUCGACCGCCUGGGGAGUACGGCCGCAAGGUUAAAACUCAAAUGAAUUGACGGGGGCCCGCACAAGCGGUGGAGCAUGUGGUUUAAUUCGAUGCAACGCGAAGAACCUUACCUACUCUUGACAUCCAGAGAACUUAGCAGAGAUGCUUUGGUGCCUUCGGGAACUCUGAGACAGGUGCUGCAUGGCUGUCGUCAGCUCGUGUUGUGAAAUGUUGGGUUAAGUCCCGCAACGAGCGCAACCCUUAUCCUUUGUUGCCAGCGAUUCGGUCGGGAACUCAAAGGAGACUGCCGGUGAUAAACCGGAGGAAGGUGGGGAUGACGUCAAGUCAUCAUGGCCCUUACGAGUAGGGCUACACACGUGCUACAAUGGCGUAUACAAAGAGAAGCGACCUCGCGAGAGCAAGCGGACCUCAUAAAGUACGUCGUAGUCCGGAUUGGAGUCUGCAACUCGACUCCAUGAAGUCGGAAUCGCUAGUAAUCGUAGAUCAGAAUGCUACGGUGAAUACGUUCCCGGGCCUUGUACACACCGCCCGUCACACCAUGGGAGUGGGUUGCAAAAGAAGUAGGUAGCUUAACCUUCGGGAGGGCGCUUACCACUUUGUGAUUCAUGACUGGGGUGAAGUCGUAACAAGGUAACCGUAGGGGAACCUGCGGUUGGAUCACCUCCUUA
rnacentral:rRNA from 1 species